AGGCGAAAAGAACCCCGGCGAGGGGAGUGAAAAAGAGCCUGAAACCGUGUACGUACAAGCAGUGGGAGCACCCUUCGGGGUGUGACUGCGUACCUUUUGUAUAAUGGGUCAGCGACUUAUAUUCUGUAGCAAGGUUAACCGUAUAGGGGAGCCGGAGGGAAACCGAGUCUUAACCGGGCGUUAAGUUGCAGGGUAUAGACCCGAAACCCGGUGAUCUAGCCAUGGGCAGGUUGAAGGUUGGGUAACACUAACUGGAGGACCGAACCGACUAAUGUUGAAAAAUUAGCGGAUGACCUGUGGCUGGGGGUGAAAGGCCAAUCAAACCGGGAGAUAGCUGGUUCUCCCCGAAAGCUAUUUAGGUAGCGCCUCGUGAAUUCAUCUCCGGGGGUAGAGCACUGUUUCGGCUAGGGGGCCAUCCCGGCUUACCAACCCGAUGCAAACUGCGAAUACCGGAGAAUGUUAUCACGGGAGACACACGGCGGGUGCUAACGUCCGUCGUGAAGAGGGAAACAACCCAGACCGCCAGCUAAGGUCCCAAAGUCAUGGUUAAGUGGGAAACGAUGUGGGAAGGCCCAGACAGCCAGGAUGUUGGCUUAGAAGCAGCCAUCAUUUAAAGAAAGCGUAAUAGCUCACUGGUCGAGUCGGCCUGCGCGGAAGAUGUAACGGGGCUAAACCAUGCACCGAAGCUGCGGCAGCGAACGUAUCACCCAAGACAACUUUACGGAGUUGACGAUUGACGGAGCGAAGCGACGUCAAAGCGUUCAUUAAAGUCGAGUUGGCUUAGGGAUACGUUCGUUGGGUAGGGGAGCGUUCUGUAAGCCUGUGAAGGUGUGUCGUGAGGCAUGCUGGAGGUAUCAGAAGUGCGAAUGCUGACAUAAGUAACGAUAAAGCGGGUGAAAAGCCCGCUCGCCGGAAGACCAAGGGUUCCUGUCCAACGUUAAUCGGGGCAGGGUGAGUCGACCCCUAAGGCGAGGCCGAAAGGCGUAGUCGAUGGGAAACGGGUUAAUAUUCCCGUACUUGGUGUUACUGCGAAGGGGGGACGGAGAAGGCUAUGUUGGCCGGGCGACGGUUGUCCCGGUUUAAGCGUGUAGGUGUGUGUUCCAGGUAAAUCCGGUUCACUUUAACACUGAGGCGUGACGACGAGGCACUACGGUGCUGAAGCAACAAAUGCCCUGCUUCCAGGAAAAGCCUCUAAGCAUCAGGUAACAUCAAAUCGUACCCCAAACCGACACAGGUGGUCAGGUAGAGAAUACCAAGGCGCUUGAGAGAACUCGGGUGAAGGAACUAGGCAAAAUGGUGCCGUAACUUCGGGAGAAGGCACGCUGACACGUAGGUGAAGUGAUUUACUCAUGGAGCUGAAGUCAGUCGAAGAUACCAGCUGGCUGCAACUGUUUAUUAAAAACACAGCACUGUGCAAACACGAAAGUGGACGUAUACGGUGUGACGCCUGCCCGGUGCCGGAAGGUUAAUUGAUGGGGUCAGCGCAAGCGAAGCUCCUGAUCGAAGCCCCGGUAAACGGCGGCCGUAACUAUAACGGUCCUAAGGUAGCGAAAUUCCUUGUCGGGUAAGUUCCGACCUGCACGAAUGGCGUAAUGAUGGCCAGGCUGUCUCCACCCGAGACUCAGUGAAAUUGAACUCGCUGUGAAGAUGCAGUGUACCCGCGGCAAGACGGAAAGACCCCGUGAACCUUUACUAUAGCUUGACACUGAACAUUGAGCCUUGAUGUGUAGGAUAGGUGGGAGGCUUUGAAGUGUGGACGCCAGUCUGCAUGGAGCCGACCUUGAAAUACCACCCUUUAAUGUUUGAUGUUCUAACGUGGACCCGUAAUCCGGGUUGCGGACAGUGUCUGGUGGGUAGUUUGACUGGGGCGGUCUCCUCCUAAAGAGUAACGGAGGAGCACGAAGGUUGGCUAAUCCUGGUCGGACAUCAGGAGGUUAGUGCAAUGGCAUAAGCCAGCUUGACUGCGAGCGUGACGGCGCGAGCAGGUGCGAAAGCAGGUCAUAGUGAUCCGGUGGUUCUGAAUGGAAGGGCCAUCGCUCAACGGAUAAAAGGUACUCCGGGGAUAACAGGCUGAUACCGCCCAAGAGUUCAUAUCGACGGCGGUGUUUGGCACCUCGAUGUCGGCUCAUCACAUCCUGGGGCUGAAGUAGGUCCCAAGGGUAUGGCUGUUCGCCAUUUAAAGUGGUACGCGAGCUGGGUUUAGAACGUCGUGAGACAGUUCGGUCCCUAUCUGCCGUGGGCGCUGGAGAACUGAGGGGGGCUGCUCCUAGUACGAGAGGACCGGAGUGGACGCAUCACUGGUGUUCGGGUUGUCAUGCCAAUGGCACUGCCCGGUAGCUAAAUGCGGAAGAGAUAAGUGCUGAAAGCAUCUAAGCACGAAACUUGCCCCGAGAUGAGUUCUCCCUGAGACUUAGAGUCUCCUGAAGGAACGUUGAAGACGACGACGUUGAUAGGCCGGGUGUGUAAGCGCAGCGAUGCGUUGAGCUAACCGGUACUAAUGAACCGUGAGGCUUAACCUUACAAC
rnacentral:rRNA from 1 species